UACAUUUCUAUCCUUGCGUGUAAUGGAUGAAAGCACACGCAUCGCUUAGGCAAGAAAUUAACCUUUCUUCAGGGUUUGGAAAGAUGUAGAAGAAGUGGAUGAUACAGAGUGGUAUGUUGUAAGAUAUGUUACGAUGACUCUGUAUAUAACUACUGCACAAUUACAUGGUGUCCGUCGUAUUGUACUCUGUACAGUGGGGAGUGGGCCGGCCGGCAUGGCGCAGACGGGCCGGGCCAGUCCCAACUGUCCAACCUUAGAGUAACUUACUUUGUUCUCUUGUACGUAUUGACUCAUACGGUAUCUCCCUUGCAUGAUACGUCCCUGCAGGCUGUCAGGCACAUCCAUACGUAGUUACUUACGUACUACAGAAUGGCAUGCAUGAUCAAUCUCGAGUUUUUAUUCUCGUGGUUCGCAUCACUUCGCGUCAUGUGGAGUAUCCUCUUUUCUUUUUGCUCGCUCAAGUUGCAUCGCAACCCUCACAUUCCAAGUUUUUCUUGCAUCUCUUGUCUGUGGCUAACUGUCCAUCAAAGUUUUGUCUCGUACCCAUUUCUAUGCUUUGCUUCCGAGAGGAUCUGAGCUCUCGAUCGCUCUUGUCACCCACUAUCACCCUAUCACUGUCUCAUUCAUGGACGUGUUAAAUUCACCCUUUCACCCUAUCACCCGUAAAUAGCCAUUGGGGUUUGGUACUGUAUUAGACACAUCUGUGGACGCACGGCUAUCGACGGGAUUGGAGUAGGUAGAUCAUUGGUCAUUUCUCUUGUGACUCAAGCCAUUUCCGUUUUUGGUGAUACUCCAUGAGUGCAUAGUACCUUGUGACGAUUCCAAUAGUUUGAUAUAGAGCAUUGUAAGGUUAAUAUCACUUUUAUACAGUACAUAUCUAGGGAAAUAACUAAUCAUGGUCACUUAGUUAACUAAGGCCUUACUAAAGCUUGAGUAAUCACAAAGUUGUUUAGUAACGGCGUACGGAGUAGUUCUCAGAUAGGCACUACUAGCACGAACCGACCCUACACUACUACACCGAACUAAACCUGUACCAGUAGAGUCGGUAAUCGGAUCAGGCGACGAGGCCGGGUCCACUUUCCUUGACUUUCCAUCAUCGAGUCGUGGCCCUUCCACUCCGUACCAUCAAUUAGUUAGUCUAUCUAUCAUCUACGCUUGAUGAAUUUUAAAUUUCCUCUCGCUUGAUGUUAUUCAUUUCCAAUAAAUCUCGCGUGAAGCAGCCCCUUUUUAUGACGACCCUGUGCUACUAAUACUCCACUGAUCGAACAUGGACUAUCUUACCUUUGUUGCACCGAAAAAGCAAAAUCAAAACUCUGCUUCUUUUCUCCCGCCACUAACAGCUCAACCUUCCGGAGCUGAAAGUUCGCCAGUAAAUUAAUUUCAGAUUCUUUAUGAUGCUUAUGCAGCUCGUAUGAUGCCAUAUUCGGACUCGCUUCUUCCAGUUUGGUUUUUUUUUUUCCAGACGGUAAUGCCGUCAGCCCAGCCACGUUCCAUGCCUGGUCCAGCCGGCAACAUGAAACAGAAUCAUCUGAUGGAAUGUAAGGUAAGUUAUUCUCUGUAUCCAUAAUAACAUAGAUACAUACCCAGUAUACACAUAUGCGAACUACCGAGCAAUACUGCCAUGACCUACCUUCGAUGGACGCCUUCUAGGAAGCAAGGGGCUGAUGUUUGAUCCCUUUCCCUCGUAACUGACACAACAAGCAUGAAACACCCUGAGCUUGACAGGACCAGCAAAGCAUAUGAUUGGCGUAUACGGGACGACAUGAUAAUGACUUGCAUAAUCUUGCUCCGUCCAUGGGAGAUCUAACCUCGCUUAAACAUGAGGACUAGACGAAAUACGAGGUUUUUGUGCUACCCUAACUUGCAUAUGUCACUGGUAAGAUAAGCAAUCGACCUUUGAUCCUUUGAUUACAUGCAUAGACUGGGACAUUCUGCAUGUUACACACGCAUCCGUCCAAUGAUGCAAGUAUUUGUAAGUGGAAUCAUUCCUGGAAAUAUGUACUUCUGUAAGUUAUCGAUGAUAUGGAACAAAGCAAGAAGAAGGCGUACAUAGAAAAAAGAAAUUGUAAAUCAAAGAAAUGAUCAGAUCUCCAAUUAACAGCCUCAAUGCACGGUACAUAGCUACCGAGUGAUCAUCAGAGAGAUUUGGAAUAGAACCAGGCGAGUUUAAAAUCUCGAUAGGACCUAAUUCAGGUAGUAUUCAUAUCUGUCUAUCCAAAAUACUGAUGAUAAAUAAGCUUGGGAUUUAACUAUGAGUAUGCGAUGUGAUUACAGGGUUCUUCCAUCUAGUACUUGGCCUCCAAGCCCUAAUCCAAGAUCUCAGAUCGCCGGCCCGAGAUCAAUAUCCAAGAUCAGAGCCCGAGUUUGUACAACCACACAUCAACCCUAAAAUACUCCUUGGGAGAACGCCUGUUCACGCCUGAUGAAACCAAAUCAUGUACUGCAGCAUAAAAAGCAAGAUCAGCCCAGUUUACACGUCAGCCACGUGCCAGUCAACCAUGUGUAUGAGUUGACUAGCAGCUAGUUAUGUUUCAACUCGUAAAUGUCCAUACCACGAACACUUUCGCGGAAUGCAGUACUACGCACUAUUGAAAUUUGACACAAG
rnacentral:lncRNA from 1 species